rnacentral:rRNA from 1 species
CACCAAAGCUCCGAUUUUUUGACGAGCGCAUCUAUUAGAUUAAAACCAAUCGGGUUUCGGCCCGUCAAUUGGUGACUCUGAAUAACUAUGGCUGAUCGCAUGGUCUUGAACCGGCGACGUGUCUAUCAAGUGUCUGCCUUAUCAACUGUCGAUGGUAGUUUAUGUGCCUACCAUGGUUGUAACGGGUAACGGAGAAUAAGGGUUCGACUCCGGAGAGGGAGCCUGAGAAACGGCUACCACAUCCAAGGAAGGCAGCAGGCGCGCAAAUUACCCACUCUCGGCAUGAGGAGGUAGUGACGAAAAAUAACGAGACCGUUCUCUCUGAGGCCGGUUAUCGGAAUGGGUACAAUUUAAACCCGUUAACGAGGAUCUAUGAGAGGGCAAGUCUGGUGCCAGCAGCCGCGGUAAUUCCAGCUCUCAAAGUGUAUAUCGUCAUUGCUGCGGUUAAAAAGCUCGUAGUUGGAUCUGCGCCUCAGGACUUGGUCCGCCCACUGGGCGAGAACUGGGCUCCUGGGCUAGUACUGCUGGUUUUCCCUACGUUGCCUUCAUCGGUCGCGUAGGGUGGCUAGCGAGUUUACUUUGAAAAAAUUAGAGUGCUUCACGCGGGCUUAUGUCUGAAUACUCGUGCAUGGAAUAAUAGAAUAGGAUCUCGGUUCUAUUUUGUUGGUUUUCUGAUCUGAGAUAAUGGUUAAGAGGGACGGACGGGGGCAUUCGUAUCGCUGCGUGAGAGGUGAAAUUCUUGGACCGUAGCGAGACGUCCGACUGCGAAAGCAUUUGCCAAGAAUGUCUUCAUUAAUCAAGAACGAAAGUCAGAGGUUC